GGAUGGCUAGCUCAGUUGGGAGAGCACCGAGCCAUGAACUCGGUCGUCGCGGGUUCGAAUCCCGCGCCAUUCA
rnacentral:tRNA from 1 species